UACGUAGGGGGCAAGCGUUGUCCGGAUUUAUUGGGCGUAAAGAGCUCGUAGGUGGUUCGGUAAGUCGGAUGUGAAAUCUCCAGGCUCAACCUGGAGGGGUCAUUCGAUACUGCCGUGACUAGAGUUCGGUAGGGGAGUGUGGAAUUCCUGGUGGAGCGGUGAAAUGCGCAGAUAUCAGGAGGAACACCAGUGGCGAAGGCGGCACUCUGGGCCGGUACUGACGCUGAGGAGCGAAAGCGUGGGGAGCGAACAGG
rnacentral:rRNA from 1 species